rnacentral:misc_RNA from 1 species
UCCGGUUUGUCACCGGCAGUCUCAUUAGAGUGCCCUUGCGUAGCAACUAAUGAUAAGGGUUGCGCUCGUUGCGGGACUUAACCCAACAUCUCACGACACGAGCUGACGACGGCUAUGCAGCACCUGUGUUCUAGUUCUCUUUCGAGCACGAAUCCACCUCUGGAAACUUCUAGACAUGUCAAGGGUAGGUAAGGUUUUUCGCGUUGCAUCGAAUUAAACCACGUGCUCCACCGCUUGUUACGGACUCCCGUCAAAUCCUUUGAGUUUCAACCUUGCGGUCAUACUACUCAGGCGGAAUGUUUCACGCGUUAGCUAUACAAUAUACUCACUAAAGUACUUGUUAACAUUCAUCGUUGACAGUAUGGACUAC